GACGAACGCUGGCGGCGUGCCUAAUACAUGCAAGUCGAGCGGAGUUGAUGAGAAGCCUGCUUCUCUGAUGCUUAGCGGCGGACGGGUGAGUAACACGUAGGCAACCUGCCCACAAGAUCGGGAUAACAUUCGGAAACGAAUGCUAAGACCGGAUAAGCGGCUUCCCCGCAUGGGGGAGCCGGGAAAGACGGAGCAAUCUGUCACUUGUGGAUGGGCCUGCGGCGCAUUAGCUAGUUGGUGAGGUAACGGCCCACCAAGGCGACGAUGCGUAGCCGACCUGAGAGGGUGAACGGCCACACUGGGACUGAGACACGGCCCAGACUCCUACGGGAGGCAGCAGUAGGGAAUCUUCCACAAUGGGUGAAAGCCUGAUGGAGCAACGCCGCGUGAGUGAGGAAGGCCUUCGGGUCGUAAAGCUCUGUUGCCAGGGAAGAACAAGUAUCGGAGUAACUGCCGGUACCUUGACGGUACCUAACCAGAAAGCCACGGCUAACUACGUGCCAGCCGCCGCGGUAACAC
rnacentral:rRNA from 1 species